GAAAUGCGAUAAGUAAUGUGAAUUGCAGAAUUCAGUGAAUCAUCGAAUCUUUGAACGCACCUUGCGCCCUUUGGUAUUCCUGAAGGCAUGCAUGUUUGAGUGUCAUGAAAUCUCAAUCCCCCCGGGUUUUCGGAACCCGAGGUGGACUUGGACAUGGGUGUCUGCCGUCUCGUACGGCUCGCCUUAAAUGACUCAGUGGGAUCUUCAGCAUCCGUGGCAGACGUAAUAAGUUUCGUAUCGUCCCUAGCUGUGAGGACCGGUCAUCACCUGCCAUCGCGCACCACUUUUGACUCUGACCUCAAAUCAGGUAGGACCACCCGCUGAACUUAA
rnacentral:misc_RNA from 1 species